rnacentral:rRNA from 1 species
UCAAACGAGGAAAGGCUUACGGUGGAUACCUAAGCACCUAGAGAUGAGGAAGGAAUGCUUUGGGGAGUUGAAAAUAAGCGUAGAUCCGGAGAUUCCCGAAUAGGUCAACCUUUCGAACUGCUGCUGAAUCCAUGGAAAGACAAGAGACAACCUGGCAAACUGAAACAUCUUAGUAGCCAGAGGAAAAGAAAGCAAAACCGAUUCCCGUAGUAGCGGCAAGCGAAAUGGGAGCAGCCUAAACCGUGAAAACGGGGUUGUGAGAGAGCAAUAAAAGCGUAGUGCUACUAAGCGAAGCGGUGAAGUACCGAACCCUAGAUGGCAAUAGUCUAGUCGCCGAAAGCAUCACUAGCUUACGCUUUGACCCAAGUAGCAUGGGGCACGUGAAAUCUCGUCUGAAUCAGCAAGGACCACUUUGCAAGGCUAAAUACUCUUGUGUGACCGAUAACGAAGUAGUACCGUGAGGGAAGGGUAAAAACAACCCUCGUUAAGGAGUGAAAUAGAACAUGAAACCGUAAGCUCCCAAGCAGUGAGAGGAGCCCAGGGCACUGACCGUGUGCCUGUUGAAGAAUGAGCCAUCCACUCAUAGGUAGUGGCUUGGUUAAGGGAACCCACCGGACCUGUAGCGAAAGCGAGUCUUCAUAGGACAAUUGUCACUGCUUAUGGACCCGAACUUGGGUGAUUUAUCCAUGACUAGGAUGAAGCUUGAGUGAAACUAAGUGGAGGUCCGAACCGAUUGAUGUUGAAGAAUCAGCGGAUGAGUUGUGGUUAGGGGUGAAAUGCCACUCGAACCUAAAGCUAGUUGGUUCUCCCCGAAAUGCGUUGAGGUGCAGCAGUUUAUUGGACAUCUAGGGGUAAGGCAUUAUUUUGGUACGGGCCGUGAGAGCGGUACCAAAUCGAAGCAAACUCUAAAUACCUGAUAUGACCUCAAAAUAACAGGGGUCGAGGUCAGCCAGUGAGACGAUGGGGGAUAAGCUUUAUCAUCGAGAGGGAAACAGCCCGGAUCACCAAUUAAGGCCCCUAAAUGACCGCUCAGUGAUAAAAGGAGGUAAGGGAGCAGAGACAGCCAGGAGGUUUUCCUAGAAGCAACCACCAUUGAAAGAGUGCAUAAUAGCUCACUGAUCGAGCGCUCUUACACCAAAGAUGAACGGGGCUAAGCGAUCUGUCGAAGCUGUGAGAUGUAAAAAUGAAUCGGUAGGGGAGCGUUCUGCCUUAAAGGGAAGCACUCGCGUGAGCGGGAGUAGACGAAGCAGAAGCGAGAAUGUCGGCUUGAGUAACGCAAACAUUGGUGAGAAUCUAAUGCUUUGAAAACCCAAGGGUUCCUCCGUAAGGUUCGUCCACGGAGGGUGAGUCAGGGCUUAAGAUCAAGCCGAAAGGCGUAGUCGAUGGACUACAGGUGAAUAUUCCUGUACUACCCCUUAUUGGUCCCGAGGGACAGAGGAGGCUAGGUUAGCUGAAAGAUGGUUAUUGGUUUAAGGACGCAAGGUGCCCCUGCUUUUUCAGGGUAAUAAGAGGUAGAGAAAUUGCCCCGAGCCAAUGUUCGAGUACCAGGCACUACGGCACUAAAGUAACCCAUGCUAUACUCUUAGGAAAAGCUCGAAUGACCUUCAACAAAAGGGUACCUGUACUCGAAACCGACAUAGGUGGGUAAGUAGAGAAUACCUAGGGGUGCGAGAUAACUCUCUCUAAGGAACUCGGUAAAAUAGCCUCGUAACUUCGAGAGAAGGGGUGCCUUCUCACAAAGGAGGUCGUAGUGAGCAGGCCCGAGCGACUGUUUACCAAAAACACAGGUCUCUGUAAAGUCGUAAGACCAUGUAUUGGGGCUGAUGCCUGCCCAGUGCCAGAAGGUCAAGGAAGUUGUAACCUGAUGAUAGGAGAGUCGAUGACCGAAGCCUCGGUGAACGGCGGGCGUAACUAUAACGGUCUUAAGGUAGCGAAAUUCUUUAUCGGGUAAGUUUUGACCCGCACGAAAGGCGUAACGAUCUGGGCACUGUCUCGGAGAGAGGCUCGGUGAAAUAGACAUGUCUGUGAAAAUGCAGACUACCCGCACCUAGACAGAAAGACCUUAUGAAGCUUCACUGUUCCCUGGGAUUGGCUUUGGGCUUUUCCUACGCAGCUUAGGUGGAAGGUGAAGAAGGCCUCCUUCCGGGGGGCCCGAGCCAUCAGUGAGAUACCACUCUGGAAGAGCUAGAAUUCUAACAUUGUGUUAGGACCUAAGGGCCAAGGGACAGUCUCAGGUAGACAGUUUCUAUGGGGCGUAAGACUCCCAAAAGGUAACGGAGGCGUGCAAAGGUUUUCUCGGGCCGGACGGAGAUUGGCCCUCGGGUGUAAAGGUAAAAGGGAGCUUGACUACAAGACCCAUCCGUCGAGUAGGGACGAAAGUCGGCCUUAGUGAUCCGACGGUGCCGAGUGGAAGGGUCGUCGCUCAACGGAUAAAAGUUACUCUAGGGAUAACAGGCUGAUCUUCCCCAAAAGCUCACAUCGAUGGGAAGGUUUGGACCUUGAUGUCAGCUCUUCGCCACCUAGGGUUGUAGUAUGUUCCAAUGGUUGGGUUGUUCGCCAAUUAAAGCAGUAUGUGAGCUGGGUUCAAAACAUCGUGAGAUAGUAGGACCGGGAAGGACGCACCUCUAGUGUUCCAGUUAUCGUGCCCACGGUAAACGCUGGGUAGCCAAGUACGGAGCGGAUAACUAUUGAAAGCAUCUAAGUAGUAAGCCCACCCCAAGAUGAGUGCACUCUUAUUCCGACUUCCUCAGAGCCUUCGGUAGCACAGCCGAGACGGCAAGGGGUUCUCUGUCCCUGCGGGGAUCGAGUGACAGAAGUUUUGAGAAUUCAAGAGAAGGUCACGGCGAGACGAGCCGUUUAUCAUUACGAUAGGUGUCAAGUGGAAGUGCAGUGAUGUAUGCAGCUGAGGCAUCCUAACAGACCGGUAGACUUGAACCU